rfam:Burkholderia ginsengiterrae strain DCY85 NODE_4, whole genome shotgun sequence.
GUCGGCGUGAUAACAGUCGCACCACAGGCGGUCACGACGACAACCGAACUACCGGGCCGCACCAAUGCCUUUCUUGUCGCCCAGGUUCGGGCACGCGUCGACGGUAUCGUGCUGCACCGCGGAUUUACAGAAGGCGACGACGUAAAGGAAGGACAACGUCUCUACAAGAUCGA